AUGUUCAUGAAACAGGCCGCGCUUAUCGCGCGGGGCCACUUUUUUUUUCCUCUCUAAUCUGGACCCAUCCCCACCGCCACCCUUUCACUUUUCUGUAUUUUUUUUUCAAUGCGCUGUUUGCGCUUAGCGUUUACACACCAUAAUUCCUUAUAAGCUUACAAUAUCGUUUCGACUCGCAAAAGCAGUGGAAAAACAAGAACUCGAUCGAGUUGUGUUUCAUAUAUCAAGUUUUAAUUCAGAGAAUAUUGUCGGGAUAUAUGUAAUUAUCUGUAAUUAUAAUUUAGUGGAGAUUAAAAACAAGCACAUUUAUUAAGCUUAGUGCCAUGCCUUUAAAAGCUUGCAAGUGUAUUUACUCUACCAGCUGUUUUUUCACCGUAGGGUGACUAAGUUCGAGUACUUUAAUUGCAGACAACCAGUUUACUGCAAGCGAGUUGCCGUCCCUGCUGCUGAGACUGCCCCCCUAGUGUGGAAGCCGCUUCGCCAAGCACACCCACAAGAAGGCCCACACCACCGUCACAGGUUUCACCAAGUGAUGCUGAGCCUGGUCCGAGCGGCCUCCAAUUUUCCAAGGAGGGCAGCAGCGCGGAGCAGAUGCAAGAAACGCCAAAAAAGUGGGCGAAGAAAACGCAGCUCUGUGCACACCCUUCGCACCAAAAAGAAGCUGCUAACACUUCACUCACGAAGUGAAAGGUACCGC